ensembl:lncRNA
CAUAGCCGUCCAGCGUCCCAGUCUCACUGUGUUGUUUGUGAAAAUGGCCAGCAUGAGGAAUUAUUAAUUAAAGCUAACAAAUCACCCUGACGAGCUGGGCUGUAGCAUGGCUGAAGGUUGAUUGGCGAAAGUGUUCUCCUUUGGAGAAAAGACUUUUUGUGCUCGUGACGCAGUCAGGGACGGAUUAUUGAAUAUUCAAGUUAGAAGAAAAAUCACAGGACAAGCAAAUUGAGUAUUUACUGGCAAAUAAUUGCUCUCUUAAGCUGUGGCUCUCUUCCUAAAUUCUUAACAUUCCCGUGGGUUAGAAAGAAACUCAGAAAAAUGCAUCGGUGCAGAGUACAUUUCAAAAAAAAUACAUAGACUGAUGUUUCAGAUUUGUGCAGGGACAGAGGCUGAAUGUGCCAUUUCUGUUACAGCUUGUCGGAGAAAUAGUAUGAAAGACAUCCACAUAAUCCUAUCCCUAACCUUCCUUGGCAGCCACAGGUGGGGAAAAAGAAUGUUUCACCAUCACUAACUUGAUAUUCCUCACAACAUUUCUGGCUGGUAAGUAACUUCCAUUAUCUCUAAAUGACAGUACAAAAUAUUGAGAUAUAAAGAAAACGAAUAUAUUUCUAUUAUCUUCAUAAAAACUUUAAGCCAAAGGGCUGUGGUGAGUCUACAACCUCAAGUACUAAAUUUGAACUGAAUGUAUUUUGACACUGGUAAAAGGUAGAUCUUUCAUAUCUGGUUGUUCAUUUGAAAUACCAUCAGUUAAAAGGAUAAGAAACAUGAUCCCAAGACCCACUGUCAUAGAUAUUGACAAACAUUUUCAAAUGAGUUUGUAACACAGGGUGUUGUAAGUGCUCAGGGACUUGUUUGGAAGUCUCUCUAGAGAUCUUUUUUCUUUUUCCAAAGUCAACUCCAGAGUGCAAAAACGGUUGAUAAAGUGAAGGAGGGCACUAAUAUUUCCUCUAUGGAACAUUGAAUGUUUGGCAUUAAACACACACAAAACCUUCCAACAUGUUUUGUGAUACUUUGAACUACCCAUUUAUAUUCUAUAAUAUUCUAAAAAAUUUGAAAUGCAAUUGACUCACUUUGCUUAAUCUUAAAAGCAGACAUGAUUACUCUUGCAUAUAACAAAAUGGAAAAGAAAAGCACCUUUAAGGAAUAUGAAUAAGGCCACUCCCAUCUUUUCAAAUUAAGUAAGAGGACCAAAACCAGAGCUGUAAGUCAGCAUAAAUUUGAAGUUUUUGUCUCUAUGUCUUUUAAUGAAAAUUUAUAAAAUUUCAAAUGGUUGGCACUCUGGCCUCCUAGAAUCAUUGAUAUUUCACUGGCUGGGAGCAGAGCACAGGUCAGGACUGAGGAUAAAUUGGUAGUGCAUUAUUGAGUCAGGCAGAGCUCUAAAGAGCUGAGUUUGAUACAGGUUGGCCUGCACUGAAAUGCACGGGCAAAUACCCACAAGGGGGAGGAGAAAGGAAAAGGUAACUUGCCUGGCAUCUGACUAUGCCCUGCCCGACUCCAGGCCUAUUUAGUCAUGAACAUCAUAUUCAGCCAAACCUUUAAAAGUUAUACCUUGACUUCACUUUAUAUGAAUGUGCAUAAAAUGAGGAAAACCAUCUCUUGGGUUAAUAAAGAUAGCUUUCUAACAGAGACUUUCCAUACCCAUUGCAUAUAAUCCGUAGUUGUCGCUAUGUUGUUUCUAAUUCUGUUGAUCAUUUAUCUCUGUCUCUUUGAGCAUAUCCAUCUUAGUACUGAAGGCCACAGACUUUAGGACUGUAACUCCCUCUGCCUUCCCAUUCUAAUGCUUUUAUUUGUUUUGUUGCUCAAAAAAGAAACUCAAGACAGUGUUAGCCUCAGGAGCUCCAGGGACAGGCUUUUUGGUAACUUUAAUUUGUCACUCCCUUUGCAUUCAUCACAAAAUGAUCUCAUCACAAAAGGGCCCGAAUUUCACACUCUUGUUGGCUUUCAAAGAAGCCAGUUCCUCCCUUAUUUCUAUCCAACGCACAGCACAGAAAGCUCUUUAUGUUUAUAUGAUCAGAUAAAAUCUGUAUUGACAUUUCUUUUCCUCUGGGUGUAUUUCACUUCUAGGUACAAAGAUUUAAACUAUUAAGGAAAUGCUGUGUGUUUGCAGUUUCUCGUUUUAGUAAAUGCAAAGCUCCUUGGUAAAGAAGCAUGUAUCUUUUCUAUUAAUGAAUAAAUAUUUAUUUAAUUUUAAAAUGAUGCAUAUUCAAUAAAAAUAAUUUGGAAAAAUGCAUAGGUGUAAAGUGAAG